rnacentral:rRNA from 1 species
UGCCUGGCGGCCGUAGCGCGGUGGUCCCACCUGACCCCAUGCCGAACUCAGAAGUGAAACGCCGUAGCGCCGAUGGUAGUGUGGGGUCUCCCCAUGCGAGAGUAGGGAACUGCCAGGCAUU